GAUGAACGCUAGCUACAGGCUUAACACAUGCAAGUCGAGGGGAAACGAUAGAGAAAGCUUGCCUUUUCUAGGCGUCGACCGGCGCACGGGUGAGUAACGCGUAUCCAACCUGCCCACCACUUGGGGAUAACCUUGCGAAAGUAAGACUAAUACCCAAUGACGUCUCUAGAAGACAUCUGAAAGAGAUUAAAGAUUUAUCGGUGAUGGAUGGGGAUGCGUCUGAUUAGCUUGUUGGCGGGGUAACGGCCCACCAAGGCGACGAUCAGUAGGGGUUCUGAGAGGAAGGUCCCCCCACAUUGGAACUGAGACACGGUCCAAACUCCUACGGGAGGCAGCAGUGAGGAAUAUUGGUCAAUGGACGAGAGUCUGAACCAGCCAAGUAGCGUGCAGGAUGACGGCCCUAUGGAUUGUAAACUGCUUUUAUAAGGGAAUAAAGUGAGUCUCGUGAGACUUUUUGCAUGUACCUUAUGAAUAAGGACCGGCUAAUUCCGUGCCAGCAGCC
rnacentral:rRNA from 1 species